AACGAACGCUGGCGGCAGGCCUAACACAUGCAAGUCGAGCGGGCAUCCUUCGGGGAUGUUAGCGGCGGACGGGUGAGUAACGCGUGGGAACGUGCCCUUUGCUACGGAAUAGCCUCGGGAAACUGAGAGUAAUACCGUAUGUGCCCUUCGGGGGAAAGAUUUAUCGGCAAAGGAUCGGCCCGCGUUGGAUUAGGUAGUUGGUGGGGUAAUGGCCUACCAAGCCGACGAUCCAUAGCUGGUUUGAGAGGAUGAUCAGCCACACUGGGACUGAGACACGGCCCAGACUCCUACGGGAGGCAGCAGUGGGGAAUCUUAGACAAUGGGGGAAACCCUGAUCUAGCCAUGCCGCGUGAGCGAUGAAGGCCUUAGGGUUGUAAAGCUCUUUCAGUGGGGAAGAUAAUGACGGUACCCACAGAAGAAGCCCCGGCUAACUCCGUG
rnacentral:rRNA from 1 species